rnacentral:rRNA from 1 species
GAUAGGAGGCGAUGUUAGACAUGGUAGAGACAAACUAGGUUGCCGGUCUAGUUUAAAAGAUCAUAAAAAAAAAUGGUGUUUGGCUCUAAGAUGGCAUCAGCGAGGGUCAAAAACCGCUACGAGAGUCUUUUUGUUUUGCAUUUGUGGGCUCUGAGGAGAGAGAGAGAGAGUCAGAGCUAGACAAGGAGGGAGCGAGGGUGUAGCCGCGGCGGGGGUGUCGGUUGGGGCGGCCGCUUGAGCGGGAGAGGGGGUGGCGGCGGCGUGAGGUGGGAGAGGGAGGGAGGGAGUGAAGUCGAAGAGAGGGGUGGGAUCCAGCCCCCCGGCGUCUAGCUCGUCCAGUCCGGGCUAGGCGCCGCGUCGGUUCCCGAAGCUCGUCCCGGCGCGGCCCUCUCCUCGGAGACACACGACGGCGGGGGACCAAGGGAGAAGAGGAGAGACACGGCGGCCCUCUCCUCGAGCAGUUCGGUUCUGGCUGCGGCACACCACCCCGCGCCCCCUAAGAAGAAGGUGAGGCCGCGGAGGACGGGGAGGCCACCGGCUAAGGACACGAAGAAUAUGAGGCCGUGUCCACUUUAACUCCUCGUGUCGUAUUGUGUUCUUUUAACUUGGAGAGGAAGGAUACCCCCUAACAAAACUAAAGUUGAUACCGAAAGCACUUUACGUCUUGGACUGACCUUUUUUCGGAUUGAAUCUAACUGUGUUACUAUAACUCCUCAUGUCGUCAUUGUGCUCGUUUAAGUCGGAAAGAAGUAUACCUCCUAGCACAACUAAAGUUCAUACUGCCACAGUUGUUACUCUCGUUUCUCGCAUUCCCUCCCGUACCGUAGGGUUUCCAAAGGUACCAGGGUGAACAGAAGGAGUAUAAGAUACUUCAGAGUCCCCCAGGGAAACCCUAACUCCUGUCACAGUUCCGACGACCUGGUGAGGACCGUUAACACCCCAAAGAAGACAAACGCGAGUAUACCUCAUAAGGUCUUCGGGAUUAGUGUCGACUCUACCCAUGAUACAAAGGACUCUUACCACCGAUACAGCAGACCCAGAGAAGUCGAGAACCCGGGAAAACCCCAAAAGUCGUUCCGACCCGUUUCACCGAGUCACCACAGUAUCUAUUACGAGAGAUAGGUCAGGAAAAAGAACUGAUACAGUUCAGGUCAUAAGGUCGAGAGCCCCCACCCGAAGGUUCCUGAAAACGCCACGAAUAGGAGUGUCAACGGGAAUGAAUGUACUUGAUGUCUCCUAAUUGCUAUCAACCGACCCACCGUCAGAAAGAACCCCACAAGAGAGACGAGGGAAAGAAACAUUACCCUAACUAUCGUUAAGGUGUAUAACUUGGAAGUUCUACCAAACUUUACCUGGACCUGUUACACUUAACCCCGGACAUAGACUUGUGAGACAAAACCUUGGAGUUGAUAACCCUAAGUUAGUCAUGUAACCGACCUCUCCAACUCUUAGGUUUCUCUUGGGAGGGGUCCCGUGAAAGAAUACGAGAACAAAAUCAUCAGCCCCCUAUGGAGAUGGGAGACUAGUGAACAUGUCGUCGUGAAGGCCAACAAGCCCUCAGCACCUGUCUGCCUAUAAAAAGUCUGUAACGUUUUUAAGAACCACCAAAGACCAACGUGAGUACCUAAGUUCGCCGCCGGCGUAACAGCUUGUACCCGUUGAAACAAUGACUUUACUCGUCACUAAGUAUGGUCGAAGACCCCUACCGACUCGCACCGUACGAGGGACUCAAGAAGCCGUUCUCUAGUGCGAUGCCCUGGGGUGACUAGCCGUAGGACAAGAGGCGCAAGCCACACCAGGACGACAGGACCUACUCGAAGGUCCUCUAGUAACGCCGACUCUUGAUGGAGAUGACGAAGCCCUACUAUAACCUCAAGUAGCGGAAGUAGUUCGACUCCUACUGGGUGGGAUCGUGGAGGGCCGGAAAGGCCUAGGGCGACCCGUGGCAACCGAGGCAGGACUACUAGUAGGGAGGCUGAUAGGACUAACAGCACCACUACCACGACCGAAGGAAGUUCCACUACCGACACUCGUAGGACCGCCACGAGCAGCCCAAACGCGACGUUGGCCGGGACCACAUGUACCUCUUCUUCGCCACCGACUCCAAGAGGCAGUCUCUCCUGGACGGGCUAGACGACCUGGGGAGCCGACCGCGGCGGCUUCUACUCUGCUGGGGCGAACACCAUACUAAAUACUACGUUUCACAUUAUUUUCCUAUCCUUGUACGACGGGACAUAUUACGGUACACCGUAGUAUAUACGACAACAUAUGGUUGAACAAGCAGUACUUUUUCUUUAUCUUCUCGUACGACUCGCGGAAAUCUUUGUAGUUUCCGCGUGGAGUCUGAGAUAAACCGGAUUAGAGUAGACACUGACAUACAUCUAUAGUAAUACUAUCUGCAGGC